rnacentral:rRNA from 1 species
GCUUAUGGCCAUACCACCCUGAGCACGCCUGAUCUCGUUCAAUCUCGGAAGCUAAGCAGGGUCGGGCCUGGUUAGUGCUUGGAUGGGAGACUGCCUAGGAAUACCAGGUGCUGUAAGUU